rnacentral:rRNA from 1 species
UGCCAGCCGCCGCGGUAAGACGGAGGGUCCUAGCGUUGUCCGGAAUCACUGGGCGUAAAGGGUCCGUAGGCGGUUUGUUAAGCUAGAUGUGAAAGCCCCGGGCUCAACCUGGGAUGGUCAUUUAGAACUGGCAGACUAGAGUCUUGGAGAGGGGAGUGGAAUUCCAGGUGUAGCGGUGAAAUGCGUAGAUAUCUGGAGGAACAUCAGUGGCGAAGGCGGCUCCCUGGCCAAAGACUGACGCUCAUGUGCGAAAGCGUGGGUAGCAAACAGGAUUAGAUA